CCAUAAUAGAUCAAAUCCGCCUCGGGGGUCCCAGCGUGCGAAUUCCGCCCCAGGAUCCGAAGAAGUCCGAGGGAAUCGAAGGGAAAGCUGCCUUGAUAAGGCCGGACGGGGAGUCAGACGGCCGAAAUGGCGCGCCCUGCAGGCUGGGACUAGACACUCUGACCUCAGCUUCGUCUCUGAUGGCCUUGCAGAUACCAGAAUCCGAGCUCUAAUGGGAAAACGCCCUGAUCAUGGCUGCUUUGGCUUGGCACAAAGGAAAAUGGGACAUGAACCUGCAUCCACUCCCUUCCGGACUCCGCACAAUGAAAGAUAACUACCUCUAAAAUUGGGAGACAGCAGCUGUUCAUACAUUUCUUCAUUAAAUAAACACCGGGAUACCUGCUGAUUGAAACCA
rnacentral:lncRNA from 1 species